CCGUCCUGUGUGAGAGGGGGUGAGUCUCGGAUCGGGGGUGGGGGGAGGUCCCUGCAGGGUGGGCGCCAAGAACCAGGGCACAUCUGUCCCUUCGUGCCCCCGUUCCCACCUGGGUCAUUGUCCUAGCCUGCCUGUGCCUGGCAUCCCCCCUGCACAGUUCUCAGUCCCGGACUUGAUGUGGGCGUGGGGGAGCUGUCUUCCAGGGGACUCUCUCCAGACUCGUGGUCCCCUGUUACCCAAGAAGGGGCAAAGAAUCCCAUCAGCUAGCUUCCUCAUCCUCAGCCUGUCCUCCAGUGUGGGAUGAGGUUUGUUACCUACAGCCCAAAGCCGAGAAAAGGCUGGGGACCUUCGCACCAGGUACUGCAACAGCCCAGCCACAGCCCAGCUCCUCCACCCUCCUGCCCCCAGCCUUUGGAACCUACCUUCUGGAACCCUCUCUAUGUGUCCUGACUCAUUCAUUCAUCCACUUAUCUCCUGAUGGACUCUGAGGUGGGUGUGGGACACAGGUAAGUGGGAUAGAGACUAUGUGUGACCAGUGAAGAGGGCGGGAGGUGGGUGGGGAGGUGAGCCCAUGGCUGGCCAGGGGCAGUGACCAAUGAUGCCAGUUUUCAGGGGAGCUAAUUAAGGCCAGAGAGAUUAGGAGGCUUGCAAAGUCACAGAUUCUGGAGCAAUGCCAACCCUGAAGGUCCAAGGACGUCAAUCACCUCCCCCCCCAGCCCCCACUGCCAUGUACCCUGUGACCAGCACAAGGCCUUCCUCCACAGCCCCUCCUGCUGCCCUUGGGCAGGAGCCCAGGGCUUCUUCGUUCUCCAGCCCCACCCCUGGUGCCCUGAGCCAGAAGUCUUGGCAGCCCUCUCUGCUCUCCACAUCCCUAGAAAUCAGACCAAGACAUUUCCCUGCUUAGGACCCAAUCAGGGCCCCCUUGGCCCAAGGACAAAGUCCAAACUCCUCAGUGUGGCUCCCAAGGGCCCAAGAUCCAGCCCCACCCUGGCUGCUCUCACUCAGCUCUCCAUGACGUGCUUUCCAGAUGGAAAUUUCUGGAACGCAUAUAAUGGGCAUCUUGCCCCCAGCACUUUGCACAUGCUGUUCCCACUUUUCUGUGUGUGGCUAACUCUGACCCCCAAUAGGUCUUGUUCCUAGCCACCCUGAAAGGCCCAGAGUCCUCAAGCAUGACAGUCGUUGGCAGUGCCUGGCUCAGGCUGGUCUGGCACAGCAGAGACACUCAAUAGGACAAAGGGAAAGCUCAAAGGCCAACUCUUCCCAGGAAUGUGCAUAAGCCCCCAACCUACACUGGAACCCCAUGAGGUCUUGAGCACUCCUUUCCCAGGAAGGGCAGGCAAAGGCCCAAGUCCUCAGGGAUGCAAACUUACAGCCUGACAGAUACAUAAUGAUUCCAGGGAAGCUCAGGGCUUGGCGCUCCCUUAGCCGAGGACGAGCUGGGCCCAGCAUACUCCCUGCAGGAACCAGAGCUUACUCUGUGUUCCAUGGCAAGAGCCAAGUAACUUGAGCUAACCAUUCUCCAACCAACCCUGGCUCUCCAGGGCUUUCUCAAUCCUGCGUGUCUGCAUCCUGCCCAGGCUGCUGCCCUGGGGACAGGCUGCUACCCCGUUUAUGGGGGAGGAUGCCGGACAGCCCAAGUGACACUGAACCUCACACCAGCCUCUCCUUGCAACCAGUAGGUCAGAGGGUGGACUACGCAAGAUGAGCCACCUGUCCAGUCUCCACUGGCUAUGAAGGUCGGCCGACCUUGCUCUGCAAACCCGUGGUUGCUUCCGGGUCCCAGAGAGGGACAAAGACCUACUGGCCCCUCGCUCAGCUACGUACUGCAGCAAUGGCUGCUAUAGUCACACUGGAGCUGCCCAGAGCCCUGCCUCCACAAGUGCAGUAGCCAAACCAGGAGGAAGGUUCUAGUGGAAGACCUCACAUAAUAUACAUCACAAGAUGCAGGGCACAGAGCCUCACAGAACUAAAAACAGGUCCUGACACGCGUAGGAGGGAGAAGAGGACAAGCGGCUGUUUUGUGGGCAGGCGGGACGCAGAUGGGGAUACCGAGGCUGAAGAGACUGAGGAACUCGCUCGGCACUACAGUCAGUAAAGAGAACCCCACUGGCUGGAAGUCAGCUCAUUCCAAGCCCACGCCCCAAAGGGCAGCCCCGACUGGACCAAGAGUGAUUCUGCCAGGCAGUGGAGUAUCAACCUUGAUCCAUGGUGGCUACAUCUGAGCUGGGUUUUCAGAGAGAAUUCUUCAGAAAAGGAGAAAAAACAUCCCAGGGGGGAAAAAAUCUGUCAUUACUACAAAUGUGAUGGCAUAUAAAAGAUGCAAUUUUUAAAAAUUCACCCACAUAAAGUCAGCU